UACUAUGUUACGACUUAUCUCAUCUUAAACUAACGAGAGUGACGGGCGAUGUGUACACAUCUUAGAGCUUUUAUCAUAAUAAUAAUAUUUAGAUAAUUACUAUUAAAUCCACCUUCAUAAAAAUUAUUCAAUUUAAAAUUCAUUUAUCUUAAAAUAUUGUAAUCCAUCUCCACUUAAAUAUAAACUGCACCUUGACCUGAAAUAUUAUAUAAAAGUAUCUUCUGAAAAUUUUUACCCUAGAAAGAUUUUCACUAAACGGCGGUAUACAAAUAAUUUAAUUAAGUAAGGUUCAACGUGGAUUAUCGAUAACGGGACAGAUUCCUCUAAACAGACUAAGAUACCGCCAAAUUCUUUAAGUUUCAAGAUCCUAACUAAUACUACUCAAGUCCUCAUAAUUUAAAUCUAAAUAUAGGGUAUCUAAUCCUAGUUU
rnacentral:rRNA from 1 species